CACAUGCAGAUGAAAACUGAGCCUUUAAAUGUGUUUCAGUCUCAUGAUCCAAUGGUGUGUGUUUUCACUUCUUUUAGAAAUCUGGAAAUCUUUUCUUUUUCAUUCUGUGUGAGUCUCUGGUUCAGACUACAGGUUUUCUGAUGAUUCAGUGACAGAGUUGAAUCAUUCAGAGAAACAAGUUUGUCACUGUGAACUUCAUGAGAGGGCAAAGGUCAUCAAAACUAAUUAAAAACAAUGAUUUAGAAACCCCAAAUUAAGAUGUGUAAAGAAAAUGUGAUCAAUACAGAGUCUGAUUAUAUUAUCUAUUUAGAUUUAAUUCCUAGUUUUCAUGCAUCAAGAGAUAUUUAGAGAUGAUGAGGUGUUUUUAUAAAAGUCAAUUUAGUCCAAUAAUCCAUGUCUGAUGUUGAGAAGAGCUGAUGUUGAGUGUCAUAUCAGUGUGUGUGAGUGUCGUUGUCUCUUUCUCUGCUGGAGUUUGUGUUCAUUUGAGUGUGACGGAGGUUUUUGUACGACGCUUUCACUAGAAUGAAGCACUGUGGUACACUUUUGGUGGAGGAACUAAACUGACGAUCGCUGGUCCCGCAGUGAAGCCCUCCGUGUCUCUGCUGCCGCCCUCUUCUCUGCAGAUCUCUGGAGACUCAGCCGCACUGCUCUGCCUGCUCAGCUCUUACUCUCCACAGGGGGCGCAGGUGAGCUGGACGCUGGACGGGUCAGAGGUCACCGAGGGGGUUCAGACCAGCGCAGAGAGCGAGCGGGACGGACGCUACAGCCGCAGCAGCGUCCUGAGCCUCAGCAAAGCACGCUGGGAAGGUGCAGAUCGCUUCGUCUGCAGAGUAAAACACAACGGAGCUGAUCAAGAGGCCUCGUUCCUCAAGAGCUCCUGCUGAUGUUUCUCCAGUGAAGAGCAGCAGGAUUCACAGCAGUCACGUGAUUUACAGCUCAAUACUGAAACAGUCUUUCAAUGUGCUGCCAUUGAUGUUCAUUCAAUAAAGCUUCUGAACGCCUUA